GGGGUCCUUUUCUUAAAUAUCAUGGCUGCUUUUGGUCCUGCUGCAGAUGCCCUUCUAGCAAGGAUAGAGGAAAUGUUAGGGGAGGGAGGUAAGGUUGCAGAAAUGGGCCAGGAGCCUGCAGUGAUAAGUUCUUUGACUGAUUCUCCCCUGCUCACUACCAGCCUGCCUGUUGCUACUCAUGCCUGCACACAGCGGGCCCUACGUUCUCAAGGUUCUGCAGCAAGACCAGAGGAACCCACGAGGCGGCUCUGACUUUCUCAUUAGGAAUUUCUGUUUUCGUAGGAGAGGCGAACCUGCAGGAAUCUGUGACUCUAUGUGCACCUUCAAUUUGGUCCAUCGUUUGUGAUUGACUUUCUUGUGGCCCUCCGUGAAAAAGCCAAGGUUAAAUUCACGGUGCCUACCGAGACCGCACGUGUUUUCAUCUUUUCAGACCCUAGGCUUACCACACAUUUCCUGGGCAUGGAACUGACCGGCCAUCCUGUACCCUGGCCUUCUAGCGACAGCAUGAAAACGUGUGCGUUCGCAGAUGGAAGAAGUUCACACCAGGCACAAGCUGUAACCAGAUCAUAUGAGCAGCGUUUACGCUUUGUCUAAUUCAAACUGACCCAACCUCCUAAGAAAAAGAAGGACUUCCUCCGGUUAUAGAGGUUUUAAGAACAGCUAGACCCAGGAUUCUGAGAUUUGGAGUCUUUUCAGUAAUGGGAAGAAGGCGGCAGAGGACAAAACUAAGGCAUCGUUAUAAUGUUCAUCUGCAGAGACCUUACGGAUCAUUAAAAGCGCACGACACGGAGAUAGUAAGCCACACGGAAGAGCCUGAGCUUAGACGAUGGGUGAACAACGGGAAAUCCGGGCAGUGUCCGCGUGGGCUUGGCAAGGAGACCCCACAAGGAGGUCAUUCUCUCCUCAGUGUGCGGACAACAGCAUCCAUCCGACUCAGAGGCUGUGAGCUGUUCACCGUCCUUGUGAGACGUGGGCCUGAAGACACAGCUGGAGUUCUUGUCAUUGCGGAAUUCAGCCGAGUUUAUAAUUAA
rnacentral:lncRNA from 1 species